rnacentral:lncRNA from 1 species
GGGGAUUACAUGCCAACUGGGGAGAGAAAAACGGCAGGAGGAGGGGCUGAAUUUGCAAGAUAUAUACACACACAAAAACACAAAUAAUUGAGGGAAGACAGUUAUUGAAAUUGGGAAAAUACAUACAAUUGUAGGCUGCUGAUGUAUAUUAUAUUCACACAUAGGCUGCUAGAAUUAUUUAUAAAACACACAACCAUUGGGCUGAGAAAUUGGAGAAGAAUUGGAUUUUGUUUUGAGAGUUGACAGGGUGGUUGUGAGCAUUAUGAAGACAUAAAAGGCUGCUGAAAUAUAUACAUAUGUACACGGCUGUUCAUCAAGUAUAUACAUAUACAGAAACCGCUGCUAGAGGAGAAAAAAGGGCCGACCAUACGCACAAAAUUGGAGACGGACCGAAAGCAGUUGAAGAAAGAAUUUCAGAUUUUUUGUAUAACAGUCCAUCAACAAUUUGUGCAAGAAUUUGGAUAUUAAUCACGUUCCAUCAAUUUCUCGGUGAUGUCCUUUCAAUUUUAUGUGUUUAAUUCCAAUCUUAUGUCAGGCUAAUUUUUUUCAUGUAUUGGAUGAAGAUGAAACUCUUUGUUAUUUAAUUUUAAUUCGAGACGUGUUUUAGUUGAAUUCUUGUAAUUUUUUAUUAAUCUUGCAUGCUUAAUUUUAUUAUUUGAUUGCUUGAUCACCAAUUAAAUAUAUGGUUGCUUGUUGUAGUGCUGAAAGACUCUUAAUAGAUCUGGAACACUGCUUGAUUAACAUGCGUG